rnacentral:snoRNA from 1 species
AAAAUGACCAACACAUAAGGCAGGCCUGUCCCCCUAGGCCUCUCAGAGUGUCUUAUACCAGAGCAAAAUGUGGCCCUGAAUCAUUGCCUGGCCUCUGUGUCCAUAGGCUGCUGGCACUGAAGUGGGUUGUACAGUG